UGGCAGAUAGUUUAGGUGGUAGAACAUCUUGCAGCGUUACCAAGAAGUCACGGGUUCAAGUCCCGUUCUGCCAG
rnacentral:tRNA from 1 species